AAGCUCGUAGUUGAAUUUCGGGACCAAUUUGUUGGUCGUGCCUCGGUAUGUACUGGUAUUAUUGGUUUCUCCCUUCUGAAGAACCUCGAUGUCAUUAAUUUGGUGUCGUGGGGAAUCAGGACUGUUACUUUGAAAAAAUUAGAGUGUUUAAAGCAGGCAUACGCUUGAAUACAUUAGCAUGGAAUAAUGAAAUAGGACGUUUGAUUCUAUUUUGUUGGUUUCUAGGAUCGACGUAAUGAUUAAUAGGGAUAGUUGGG
rnacentral:rRNA from 1 species